rnacentral:rRNA from 1 species
UAGUCCACGCCGUAAACGAUCAUCACUCGCUGUUGGCGAUAUACUGUCAGCGGCCAAGCGAAAGUAUUAAGUGAUGCACCUGGGGAGUACGCCGGCAACGGUGAAACUCAAAGGAAUUGACGGGGGCCCGCACAAGCGGUGGAGCAUGUGGUUUAAUUCGAUGAUACGCGAGGAACCUUACCAGGGCUUAAAUGUAGUAUGACCGGUCUGGAAACAGGCCUUCUCUUCGGAGCAGAUUACAAGGUGCUGCAUGGUUGUCGUCAGCUCGUGCCGUGAGGUGUUAGGUUAAGUCCUGCAACGAGCGCAACCCCUAUUCUUAGUUGCCAGCGGUUCGGCCGGGGACUCUAAGAAGACUGCCAGCGCAAGCUGAGAGGAAGGUGGGGAUGACGUCAAAUCAUCACGGCCCUUACGUCCUGGGCUACACACGUGCUACAAUGGUCGUGACAAAGAGUUGCUAGUCUGCGAAGGCAAGCCAAUCUCAUAAACGCGGCCUU